GAGAGGCACAGGGAGGCGGGGGAGAGGAGGACGACAGAGGAAAGGGGAGGAGGAGAGAAGGAAGGGGGGGCACAAGGAGGAAGGAAGGAAGGAAAGAAGAGCAGCACAAACAAACAGAGCCAAAUAAAGGUGUUUGUUCAAUUUUAAGCAGGUCUGAAGGGCAAAUGUAUGUGAUUUUAAUCUUCGUAAUGUAUAGUUAUCAUUUGAUUUCCGUAUUAAUUCAUUCUUCUAACGUUUUGAUACAGUACAGUACGAGUUUUUGUUACAUUUUCAUAAAAUAAAUAAACAGUUGGUAAAAUACAGAAAUGGAAGAAGAAUAAAAAAGACAGCACCUACACAAAAAGUCAAACAAUUAAAACAAAAGAAAAGGUUGAAUUAACUAGAUUGGUAAAAUAGAAAUAGGUGAGUGAGAUUUUUCAUUAGCUAGCCUGCAAUCAGUUAAAAGCAGGAGUUUCCAGAAACUCUCAAGACAAAAAAGACAAUAUUUAACAAUGAUUUAAAAUAAAUCAAAUAAUAUUUAACCUUGAACACCUUUUCUUAAACGUUUAUUUGAGGUUUUGUUGCUCUUUGCAGACCUAGUGUUUCAGCUAACCUCUAUCGCUGAAACUUUCAAUUUAAUAAUAAUUCGUCAUAGGAAAUCCAACUGUACGGUUAUUUAUUUUAAUUAAUAAAUAAUUUAAAUUCAGUUCCAAAACUAAGGGGGCUGAAGUGGAGCAGUGAUAUAAUUAUUACCUGACUUAAUCUGAUUUAAUUUGUAUGAGAAAAUUUGAUUCCAUACAAACAUAUUCAGACAUACAUCUAUCUAUGCUAUCUUGUAAUACGGUGUUACGUUUGAAUGAUAGUGCUGUCAUUUCCUACGCACAAAUCGGUCAUUAAAGUGCUCCUGGAGAAACUGACGGUCAAGCCUGUUAAUCUUCUCUCCUCGACAGCAGACGUGAAGUGGUUGCAGAGGGAAACUGCCAGAAGAGAAGCUGAUAAUCUCAAGCUGCAACGAUGGAAGAUAACACAGUCAUAAAACCUAAUGGUGAUGAUGCGUCAGUGACUAUUGAGGGUUCGAUUUUAGAGGUUGGUGUUGGCAGUUGCUGUAGUUGUGUUGUCAUGGCAGCAGCAACAGCCACGGCAGCUGUGGCCAGGUUAUCAACACACGACCAGAGAACCCUGAGUUACUCCAAAACUGCUGCAGUUCCUGAUGUUUAGGCAGAGGUGGAGACAGGUGGAUGUGAGGAUGAACCACAGCACUGGGCUGAUACUGACUCAUCCAGCAGAAAACUUCAGGGGAGGCGGAGGUGUGAGGAACAGCUGCAGGAGAAUGACUAUUACUGCACGAAAACAGAGAAGGUCUUGCACUUCCUGUCUUACUGCGUGCACUCACCUCCCUGGUCCUGCAGUUCCCCCAAAGGUUGAUGCGUCACCAAAACUAGGCUCCUGGGUGUUGGACCCACACGCUGCAGCUACAGAGAGGGGAACCUCAGCUCUGAAAUGUCAGCUUCAGGAGAGCUGCUGCCACUGCGGUCGCUG